UACGAGGGGAGCAAGCGUUGUUCGGAUUUACUGGGCGUAAAGGGCGCGUAGGCGGCCACGACAAGUCACUUGUGAAAUCUCCGGGCUUAACUCGGAACGGUCAAGUGAUACUGUCGGGCUAGAGUACAGAAGGGGCAACUGGAAUUCUCGGUGUAGCGGUGAAAUUCGUAGAUAUUGGGAAGAACACCAGUGGCGAAGGCGGCUAACUGGUCCAGAUCUGACGCUGAGGUGCGAAAGCGUGGGGAGCAAACAGG
rnacentral:rRNA from 1 species